UCUUAGUGGCGGACGGGUGAGUAACGCGUGGGUAACCUGCCUUAUACAGGGGGAUAACACUUAGAAAUAGGUGCUAAUACCGCAUAAGCGCACGGGGCUGCAUGGCCCAGUGUGAAAAACUCCGGUGGUAUAAGAUGGACCCGCGUCUGAUUAGCUUGUUGGCGGGGUAACGGCCCACCAAGGCGACGAUCAGUAGCCGGCCUGAGGGGGUGGACGGCCACAUUGGGACUGAGACACGGCCCAGACUCCUACGGAAGGCAGCAG
rnacentral:rRNA from 1 species